rnacentral:lncRNA from 1 species
CUAGCCUGUUGAUCCGCUCAGCUUCACUUCGUUCUUCCUUUCUAUCAAAGGAGCGAAGCGAUAGCUUUGAAAAAAGCUCGGCCUACUGUAAGACUAAUAAAGACUGACCUACGAUAGCUUAUCAAUAAACUCCAACUCAGUCGUUUCCUUAUCAGUCGAGCGAAGUGAUAACUGAGCAAGCGAAGCGAUAGCUGAGCACUUUUUUCAUUGGCUUUUUCAGUCGCUUCGGUUUAGCCCUUUUUUUCGCAUCAACCCGCAUUUGAGAAAGUUUAGCUAUAGCUCUUUCAAAGGUGAGCUUGUGAACAGGCAAACAAGAAGAAAGU